AUUGUGAUCAUCCACACGCAGCACUUCACUGCAGUCAGUGUCACAUCUCCAAAUUCAUCUCCUGGCAAUUAUAGUCAGAAACAAUAAGGUUUUCUACUGAAAGCAAAAGCUUGUUGAGACAACAGCAUGACAGAGGGAAGGCUGCCCUGUGGAAGGCUGCUCCCAUGAAAUUCUGGAAUAUCGUUUCACACAGUUAUCUAAUAAGACACACAGUCACUGAAUAUCAAGAACUCUUGGCAGUCCAAAGGAACUGAUCCUGGAGGCCUCCUUGUUCCCAUCAGUGAGGGACUUGGAGUCUGUCCAGUGCUGCUGUGAGCCCCAAUUCCACCCUGCUGCUGCCCACAGGAAUGUCUGCAGUUUCUCUGCAAUUAGACAGAGUUUGGAGGCACUUGGGACCAUUGGACAAG